rnacentral:rRNA from 1 species
UGGGGAAUUUUGGACAAUGGGCGAAAGCCUGAUCCAGCAAUGCCGCGUGCAGGAUGAAGGCCUUCGGGUUGUAAACUGCUUUUGUACGGAGCGAAAAGGCUCUGGCUAAUACCUGGGGCACAUGACGGUACCGUAAGAAUAAGCACCGGCUAACUACGUGCCAGCAGCCGCGGUAAUACGUAGGGUGCGCGCGUUAAUCGGAAUUACUGGGCGUAAAGGGUGCGCAGGCGGUCUUGCAAGUCAGAUGUGAAAGCCCCGGGCUUAACCUGGGAAUUGCGUUUGAAACUACAAGACUAGAGGGCAGCAGAGGGGAGUGGAAUUCCAUGUGUAGCAGUGAAAUGCGUAGAGAUGUGGAAGAACACCGAUGGCGAAGGCAGCUCCCUGGGUUGACACUGACGCUCAUGCACGAAAGCGUGGGGAGCAAACA